rnacentral:tRNA from 5 species
GGGUGAUUAGCUCAGCUGGGAGAGCACCUCCCUUACAAGGAGGGGGUCGGCGGUUCGAUCCCGUCAUCACCCG